GUCACAUUGACAUGUAUCACUUAAUUAAUAUGAUAGUGAAAUUCUUAUUAACUUUGAUAUUCAACAUGGAACGCGCAAAAACAUAUGGACAUUAGAUCGUGGUUGUUGGCUUGAUGGACAAAUAAUCACUUUAGUUGCUUUGCAAUUUACAUUGAAGCAAAAAGAUUGUAUCCCAGAUGCGAAAUAUCCAGCGUGGUAUCUACCUACAUAUUUUUCAGUAAUUUACUUAUGCAUUUUAUAAUUGAAAGCAUUUGACUACGUAGCAUAUCAUGUUUAUCUAUACUAAGCUUGUGUUAUUGAUAUUUAUACUAAUUUUUACGAGUUGUAGCAACAUAUUUUGCACCACAAGGUUCAUAAGGCAAACAUGCUCAAGUCCUAUUUUGGAACAAAACGGUACACAGGAAAAAUUGAAUCAUGUGAAAGGGUAUUGAUUUGUUAUUAUCUCACUUUAUUUUUGUUUAAUAUGUUAAUGAAUAUGAUAGUGCUGAUUAUUGAUUUAAUAUAGGUGUACAUUCCAAUUAAUGAUGCGGGUGAACAUUGGUAUAUGUGUGUGGUAUACAUGCGACAACAAGUGGUAUAUAUCCUUGAUCCGUACAUAUCAAGAAGAAGUAGAACUCGGCCAACUCAAGUGAAAAAAGUGGUUGAAGUAUUACAUGACUUAUUGGGAAUUCAGUACAAGAAUGCAUAUACAAAUAAAAUCACUGAGUUUCCAAUUAGAACACUUGAAUGGCUUCCACAACAAAGUAAUGGCUAUGAUUGUGGAAUGCACGUCAUCAAGUAUUUUGAAUUGGUGCAAUUUAUUGAUUCC